rnacentral:rRNA from 1 species
CUUGACCAAAUUACGUGGCCAGCAGUCGCGGCAACACGCAGAAGACAAGUGUUAUUCAUCUUUAAUCGGUUUAAAGGGUACCUAGACGGGAAAUAAAGCUAUAGUAAGGACUAAUUUUCUAGAGUUUAAUGAAAGAAAGUCGAACAUCUGGAGUAGAGAAACAAUAUUUUGAUACUGGAUAGACGGGUAACGGCGUAGGCAACUUUCUAUGUAAAAACUGACGUUGAGGGACGAAGCCCUGGGUAGCAAUAAGGAUUAGAUACCCCAGUAGUCCGGGGAGACAAUGAUGAGUGCCAUAAGCUAGAUAUAUUAGUUUAUAAAUGAAAGUGUAAGCAUUCCACCUCAUGAGUAAGGCGGCAACGCAUAAAUUGAAAUCAUUAGACCGUUUCUGAAACCAGUAGUGAAGUAUGUUAUUUAAUUCGAUAGCACGCGAAUAACCUUACCACGUUUUGUAUAAUAUUUAAUUAUUACAAGUGCUGCACGGCUGUUUUUAGUUAAUGUCGUGAGACUUUGGUUAACUC